rnacentral:rRNA from 1 species
GAUGAACGCUGGCGGCGUGCCUAAUACAUGCAAGUCGAGCGAACGGACGAGAAGCUUGCUUCUCUGAUGUUAGCGGCGGACGGGUGAGUAACACGUGGAUAGCCUACCUAUAAGACUGGGAUAACUUCGGGAAACCGGAGCUAAUACCGGAUAAUAUUUUGAACCGCAUGGUUCAAAAGUGAAAGACGGUCUUGCUGUCACUUAUAGAUGGAUCCGCGCUGCAUUAGCUAGUUGGUAAGGUAACGGCUUACCAAGGCAACGAUGCAUAGCCGACCUGAGAGGGUGAUCGGCCACACUGGAACUGAGACACGGUCCAGACUCCUACGGGAGGCAGCAGUAGGGAAUCUUCCGCAAUGGGCGAAAGCCUGACGGAGCAACGCCGCGUGAGUGAUGAAGGUCUUCGGAUCGUAAAACUCUGUUAUUAGGGAAGAACAUAUGUGUAAGUAACUGUGCACAUCUUGACGGUACCUAAUCAGGAAGCCACGGCUAACUACGUG